AGCGAACGUUUGCGGCGGGCCUAACACAUGCAAGUCGAACGCACUAGCAAUAGUGAGUGGCGCACGGGUGCGUAACACGUGGGUAAUCAACCCUUCAGCUUGGGAUAACGACUUGAAAGGGUCGCUAAUACCGGAUACGGCGCGGGAGGCUUCGGCUUCUCACGAGAAAGCCUCGCAAGGGGCACUGAAGGACGAGCCUGCGGCCCAUCAGCUAGUUGGUGAGGUAAGAGCUCACCAAGGCGAAGACGGGUAGCUGGUCUGAGAGGAUGAUCAGCCACACUGGAACUGAGACACGGUCCAGACUCCUACGGGAGGCAGCAGUGGGGAAUAUUGCGCAAUGGGCGAAAGCCUGACGCAGCCACGCCGCGUGAGCGAUGAAGGCCUCGGUCGUAAGACUCUGUGGGAGGAGACGAAGAAAGACC
rnacentral:rRNA from 1 species